CCUYMGCGRCUUCGGCUCACUAUCGGAUCGUUUUAGAAACAUCAGUGGCCAACAAUCGUCAGGAUUGUUGASCUKCAUUGGCGGGAUUUCGCCGUCUUCGUUUCUCUUUCUUCGCGGACRAACACGCGCUGGGGCUGCAAGUUUGCAGAGUCCCUGGUCCUUGACUGGAUAUGCGUUAGGGGCUUGUAGCUCAGUUGGUUAGAGCGCGCGCUUGAUAAGCGUGAGGUCGGAAGUUCAAGUCUUCCCAGGCCCACCACUUUCAUCGAGUGAGCAUUCGUCUUCUGGUUACGGGGCCAUAGCUCAGCUGGGAGAGCGCGUGCUUUGCAAGCAUGAGGUCGUCGGUUCGAUCCCGUCUGGCUCCACCAGAUGGUUUGAUCAUCGACUGAUCGUGCACCUAAAUCGUCCGCRAAACAUCACUUCGCAUCUUGCUAGUCUGGAUAGACAGCAAGUUGCGUGAUUUCUGACAUCGUAAAGAGGAGAUCGAUCCRAGUUGGAUCGUGCAGCAAGCAAUUGCUACGCGAGACUUCAUUAUCUCCGGAUCAUUUCGGCGCUCGUGCGUCUUUCAAGGGCAGCUCACAAGGCUGCUUCUGGAGAGACAAGCRAGUUGUAAAUGAUCCUUUUAGCGAAGCUUGACCGCCUCGCUAUCGGAACGAUCUUACRAAGCAAGCUGGUCUUUCUAAUCAUUGYCCCGGCUGCAGAUAGCGUUCAUCGAGGGCGCCGUGCCCGCAAGGCAGUUCUGCAGACAAACAUUCUGCCCGAGUGUGUGGACAUUGAUAAUGAGAGCAAUCAAGUGCCUUAAGGGUGUUCGGUGGRAUGCCUUGGCRCUGARAGGCRAUGA
rnacentral:tRNA from 1 species